rnacentral:rRNA from 1 species
UAGAUACCCUAUUAUUUUAAGCGUAAAUUUUAAGACUUGAGUAGUAUUAGUUAAGGUCUUGAAACUCAAAGAAUCUGGCGGUGUUUUAGUCUUUUCAGAGGAAUCUGUUCCGUUAUUGAUAAUACACGUAUAUCUUACUUAUUUUUGUAGAUCAGUUUGUAUAUCGCCGUUAUCAGAUUAUCUUUUUAGGGAAAAAAUGUUCUUAAAUUUUUAUUAGAAAAUAUAUCAGGUCAAGGUGCAGCUAAUAGAUAAGUGGAAAUGGAUUACAAUAAAAUUAUUUAUAUGAAUUUGAUGUUGAAAUAUAAAUAUGAAGGUGGAUUUGAAAGUAAUGUUAUAAAUUUUGGUAAUUUGAUUAAAGCUCUAAAACAUGUACACAUC